UACGAAGGGGGCUAGCGUUGCUCGGAAUUACUGGGCGUAAAGCGCACGUAGGCGGCUUGCUAAGUCAGGGGUGAAAUCCUGGAGCUCAACUCCAGAACUGCCUUUGAUACUGGCAACCUUGAGUCCGGGAGAGGUGAGUGGAACUGCGAGUGUAGAGGUGAAAUUCGUAGAUAUUCGCAAGAACACCAGUGGCGAAGGCGGCUCACUGGCCCGGUACUGACGCUGAGGUGCGAAAGCGUGGGGAGCAAACAGG
rnacentral:rRNA from 1 species